rnacentral:rRNA from 1 species
GCAGUCGAGCGAGCAGAACUAACAGAUCUACUUCGGUAGUGACGUUUCGGAAGCGAGCGGCGGAUGGGUGAGUAACACGUGGGUAACCUGCCCUUAAGUCUGGGAUACCACUUGGAAACAGGUGCUAAUACCGGAUAACAACAAGUGCUGCAUGGCACUUGCUUGAAAGGCGGCGCAAGCUGUCACUAAAGGAUGGACCCGCGGUGCAUUAGCUAGUUGGUAAGGUAACGGCUUACCAAGGCAACGAUGCAUAGCCGAGUUGAGAGACUGAUCGGCCACAUUGGGACUGAGACACGGCCCAAACUCCUACGGGAGGCAGCAGUAGGGAAUCUUCCACAAUGGGCGAAAGCCUGAUGGAGCAACGCCGCGUGAGUGAAGAAGGUUUUCGGAUCGUAAAGCUCUGUUGUUGGUGAAGAAGGAUAGAGGUAGUAACUGGCCUUUAUUUGACGGUAAUCAACCAGAAAGUCACGGCUAACUACGUGCCAGCAGCCGCGGUAAUACGUAGGUGGCAAGCGUUGUCCGGAUUUAUUGGGCGUAAAGCGAGCGCAGGCGGAGAAAUAAGUCUGAUGUGAAAGCCCUCGGCUUAACCGGGGAAUUGCAUCGGAAACUGUUUUUCUUGAGUGCAGAAGAGGAGAGUGGAACUCCAUGUGUAGCGGUGGAAUGCGUAGAUAUAUGGAGG